AAACCCUAACCCUAAUCCUAAUCUCCCCCCAACCUCCUCUGUAAAUACACCACCACACCAUUUUUCUUCACUUAAAAAGAAAGACGAAAACCUAUCUCUCUCUCUCUUCAUCACUUCACCUCCCAUGCUUUGACUCAGAUAAUUCAACAAACACUAAACAAACAUGCUGAUACACCUGAUGUGCUUCCUCCUCCUCUCGUUGCUCUCAUUCACCACGUGCUCCAAUUCGUCGCAGCGUUCCGUCUACGACGUCCUGCGGGCCCACGGACUUCCGAUGGGCCUGCUGCCCAAGGGCGUAGUCGACUUCGAAGUCGACGACGAGGGCCGGUUCCAGGUGCACCUGGAUCAGGCCUGCAAUGCCAAAUUCGAGAGCCAGUUGCAUUACGAUAGGAACGUCUCGGGGACGCUGAGUUUCGGGCAGAUCGGAUCCCUGUCGGGUAUUUCGGCCCAGGAGCUGUUCCUCUGGUUCCCGGUUAAAGGAAUCCGGGUCGACGUGCCCAGCUCCGGCAUCAUUUACUUCGAUGUCGGCGUCGUUUAUAAGCAAUUCUCCUUGUCUCUAUUCGAAACUCCGCCGGUUUGCACCGCUGCCACCACCUCCGUUGAAGCCAUUGGAACCGUGUUCGAGGUGAAUUCCAAUCUCAAUAAAUUGUUGUUAUUUGGAUUGAAAUAAAUGAGACUGAAAGAGUGUAAUGAUGAAUUGAUGUGCAGGGCGAAUCGGGGAAAUUGCGGUACAAGCUUGAUCAUGAACUUGUUGGGAGAGAUUUUGUGUAGAGUUUUGGAGGGGAGGAGAGUAGGUGUUUUGAAGGUGUGGUCUGGAUUAGUUUUGUUGGUUGGUUGAGUUGUUUUACUUUUAGUGGCCAGUGAAUUCGAUUGGAACCCAAGAUUGGAGGAGGCAAAGUUAUUACCAGUCAGUUUUGUGUCACAAAAGCGCAAAAGGUUGAGUGAGGCAGAAGCAAUUGAUCAGAUGAAGACCAAAUCAGGUGAUGAAUCUGCAACAGGUUUAUGUCUUGUGUUGUAUUUUUUUUUUUUUUUUGAAAGUUCAUAUUGGUAUCAUGAAAAUUAGUGAUGGUAUAAAAAGCUUCCAAUAAAAAAAAUAAAAAAACCCUUUGGCUUUUGCAUUGCUCUGUCUUAGCUGUUGGUAUAAUUUGUCAGUUUAUGAGUUGUGGGUGGAACAGAGGAGAAGUAGAUGAGAGGAAGAGGGCUAACCCAGAUAGAAUUUAUAUUUGUCUGGUUGUGAUCAGGUCUCUAAACUUUUAUUUAAAUUGUUAUGAUCAGGUCUCUAAACUCUGAACUUGAAGGACUCUGUUUCAAUUGUCAGAGAGAGUUUGAGCAGAGGUUUUGAUUAGUGAUGCUAAAAUGAGAGAAAAUUUUGCACUUGGUUUGUUGCGUUUCUUCUUUGUCAUAGCAGAGAGACUUUGUAGAUAGUAUAUGUGUAUUUGUUGAUCCUGUUUUUCUUUUUGUUCUUGUAGCUCAUAAUUUGUUGCUUGGUUCAGAUAGUUGAGGUAGACUAACAAUGUAGGGAAAUUCCUUUAUGUCAUUAUUUUGAUUGGAAUUUGUCUAAACUUCAGUCUGAAGUCAUGUGCACUGGACCACUCUCUCAAGACUGGUCACACCAAACAGCAGAACUCGUAUGAAAUGGGGAUAACUUAUUCCCGGCCAAUCACAAUCUGCCACAUGGAAAAGUUAUCACGCGUGACGUCCGUGAUUGACCGGGAUAGCAAAUAUUGUUAUCCCCGUUUCAUGUAAGUAUUUCUCUAGACCAAAGGCCUUUUGUCAGCACAUGCUUGGGCAUGUGAAAUUUGUCUGUAUUUUGCAUUUGAAAUAGGAGAUUUCAGGAAGGAGCCUAUUACAUCCUGUGUAUGGUAUCAUCUUUCUCAUUGUUCUUGAUUAUUUCCUUUGAGGAGCCCACUUUCUCACUUGGCUCUGUUAAACUCUCCCCUAGGUUCUAGGGUUUAGUAAAUUCUUAAUGAUUUAAUGCUGAAAAUGUUAGAGCCACAGUGGGUUCGUGGUGCGACUUGUUUUUUUAUCAUUGAUGCAUGUAAACCUCAUUGUAAGACCCACAUGUAACUAGAAACAUAAAUAACCAAUGCACGACCGAUGUCUUGGGUUUUUAUUCUGUGGGCCAUCCAAGUUAAAGCCCAAUAACAAAAUCAAACAACAUGUUGUUCUCAAUUGACUGCACACCCACCCAAUCCCAAAAGGACCCAAGUCUUGGCGGCUUGGCCCAGAAACAAAAUGGAAGAAAUUAUUUGUUCUCAAUCCACUGCUUCAUAAAAUAAAAAAGGGAAGAAAGAAGAUGAUUGCAUGGAAUUAUAAGCAUUUUGGGGCAUGCCAUAGACAUCCCCACAUGUACUGGUACCAUCCAUGUGUGUGGUUUCUAUCAACAUUCAUGGUGUCCUUGAACAAAUCUAUAUUCCAAUUUCCAAACCCAAAUAGGAUGAGAGAUUCGUAGCCCAAAUCAAUUUAUUUAUUUAUUUAAAAUUAUCCCAAUCAAUUUGAUGGCAACCCAAUUCAACCCAAUUGUUUUUUAUUGGGAAUUAAACGAAGGAGUUACAAAUUAUGAUUGAUUUGAUUGACACUUCGAGGUUCAGCUCCGUCCCCAAUUCUCAAACCAGCAGUGAGAUAUUUUGAUCUUAUCAUAUUAAAAAAUCAAAGUCAACAUCAUAAAUUGUGACGAGAGGAGGUAGUUCCUUCUUUUCUGUGCUUGGUUUUAUGCACUCCAUCCAUCACAAACUUUCGCAAUUGGUGGCGAUUGAGCUUCAGAAGGAACAAACUUGGGAGAGAAACAAAGCCAAACGCGGCAGAGUUAGUUUCCAUGCAUGUACAUGCAGGGCGUUGAUCACAGUGAUCACAGAAAACUCUCAACAGCUGUGUUUAAGGCCGUUGUCCCAUUUGCAUGGCUUUCUGUCCAUCUUCAGAAGAUCUGUUCCAGUGUGGCAUACCACCACCACCAAUGGUGGUUUUGUUUGAGCACUGGUGCUUGCUUGCCUUUCCCUUUUAUUACCAAUCUUUUCCAGAACUCCCCUACCAAUUAUAACCAACAUAAGAAAAAGAUUUCACUUCAUAUCCAUUAACGGGUUUUAGGGUUUUUACACUAGCAAAUCACGCACACAAUAGUUAGGGCAUGUUUGGUAUUCAACUUAAAUUCAACUUUUUAAACUUAAAAACAAAAUUUGAGUUCAAAACAAAGAAAAUUUGUUUGGUAACUUUAUUUUUAAAAACUCAAACUUAAGAACAACUAAAAAACACCCCAAUUAUUAAAAACAAAAAAUAUCUGUUUUUUUUUUUCUAACAACCCACAAGUUCUCAAAUUUUAAGAUUUGAAAACGAUUUUCAAGUUGCAUAGCAAACAAGUUUUUGAAUCUUAAAAAUAGAUUUAAGAACUCAUUGUUUUUAAGAAAAAUAAAAGUUUUUGAGUUUCCUAUUUGAAUAGGAUGCUAUAUGCCCUCUUAUUUUCUCACACAAACGAUCCUAAAAAAGAAAAUUUAAACACAAGACAUACGUACAUGCUUUUAACCAAUUGCUAUAAACACAAAAAUACAUAACUUUAUAUACGAAAAAAAAAUCGAAUAUGUACAAUUACUCACAAAUUAACAAGUAUUACUUACACUCAGCUCAUAUAGGAUAAUUCUUUAGCAUCGAACCAUUUUUGUGCAGACUUAUUCUUAACCGUAGUUUUAUUUAUAUUUAUUUAUUUUGUUUGUUUAUAAUCAUUGUAGUUGAGAGAGACAUAGGUAGAUGCUCACAAAACAAUAAAACAUGGGGUCCUCAACCGGAAACUGUAAAGAAGGUUGUGGACAGUCACAAACAUAAUGGUCCGAAAAACAUACAAUAAACCGAGGACAUUUCUGCAAAAUCAAAUGCGACUUCGUCUCCUGCCACGUGAAGCGGGAAAUAUACAGUAAACCAGGUACAUUUAAGCAAAAUCAAAUACAAUUUCUACAUCUGCCACGUUAAUCUCAUCAUUACCAUCCAUUUCUGCGAUCCAACCGCGCCCAUUGACCCAGUUCACAAAUUCCAGCGACCCAUAUAACUAACCCGCACCAAAACAGCCCCUUCCCUUUCCUUUCCUUUAUCUCUCUGAUGUUUUUGCAAAUAAACAAAAUAAAAUAAAUCAAUCAAUUCUAUUACCUAUAAAAAUCACUCAAUUUAUCACUUCAUCUCCUUCACGUUUACGCUCACCACCACCUCUCCUUUUCCUUCCUUCUCUAAAUCCUCCCGGAAACCACCGUUCUCCGGCGAAGAGAACCCUCCCCUUUAACCACCGAACCCACCUGCCAUGUCCACCACUUCCAUCUGCUACUCAAUGACCUCAAUACCCUUCCUUUCUCUCACACCUCACACCACAACCUCAAAGCUCUUCACAAAACGAAAUUCUUACACACCGAGGUCUUCCUUUUCUUCUUCAUCUUCUUCCCGUUCGUUUCCCAAAAGGGUAUUGAAAAAUGGGGUUUGUCUGUCGAUAAAAGCUUGCUCUACGUCGCCUUUUAUAGGGAGAGUCGGGUCACAGCGGAGAGAAGGCAACUCUUCGUUGCUGUCUUUUGGAACAAACCCAUCAGCUGCAAUUUCCAAAGAGGGUGCGCAGAGUAGCGGUGACUCGUCUCAGCUCUUGUCAGCAAUGCUUCCUUUUGUUGUUGCUGCUACUGCUGUUGCUGCUCUGGCUCAGCCUUCAACGUUCACUUGGUGGGUCUUGUUUUCUUGAAUUGUUAUUACCUUUUCAAUGCUUGCAUGUCGAAUUCUUGGGGAAUUCAGCACUAGGAUUCUGUUUUUGUUGUUUCUUGCAAGUCCAAGUUGGAUUAUUUUAUAUAUAUGGAUAGAGAAAUAUUCUUUUUUUGCUGGGCAAGGAGUUCUGAGGGAUUAACUUUAUAAAAAUACUAUUUUUGGAUACCCUUUUGUAUAUGUUAAUGCUGUAUCAUUUUCUAUAAUCCAUCAUUUCAUUUAACUCUCAAUUUCUGAAGCUAUACCUGUGUGGUUUUCAAAACAUAAAAGUUAGGAGCUGGGACUGCUUGCAUGUGUUUGAUUUUAGGCACCAGAGGGACUCCGGGUACCUAGUUUUUCUACUUGAAGAUUUUUUUUCAGUUUGUUCAGCAGAUUACAUGCCAAACAGACUGUAUUUUCUCAAGUUUUACAUCAGCUCAGCAAUGUAUUAAUUCAAAGUUAAUACAGGGUAUCUAAGGAUUUAUAUGCCCCUGCUCUUGGUGGGAUCAUGCUCUCUAUUGGAAUCAAACUUUCCAUUGAUGAUUUUGCUCUUGCAUUCAAAAGGUAAUAUCUUUAUUCACCAUUGUGUAUGUAUUCUUCUUACUGUCAUUAUUCUAGUCUGCUUGUAAGAGUUUGAGUGAGCUGUCCCAAUAUUCUUUACUUCUCAUCUAUUGCAGACCUUUACCGCUCUCUAUUGGGUUUAUGGCACAGUAUAUGUUGAAACCGGUUCUCGGGGUACUGAUUGCAAAGGCAUUUGGCGUGUCUAGGAUUUUCUACGCUGGCUUUGUCCUCACCACUUGUGUUGCAGGGGCUCAGCUAUCUAGCUAUGCUAGUUUUUUGAGCAAAGGAGAUGUGGCCUUGAGCAUUCUCCUCACCAGCACCACCACCAUUGCCUCAGUGAUUGUUACGCCUCUACUAAGUGGCCUUUUAAUUGGUUCUGUUGUUCCAGUCGAUGCUGUUGCCAUGUCAAAGUCAAUAUUGCAGGUAAUUGGGAGUUCAGAAAUGCAGGCGUUUUAGCUUCUGCCUCUAUUAUGCUUAAUAUGCAUUUCUUUGACAUUCUUAUUUUACUUAUUAGGUGGUUCUUGUUCCAGUAACCAUUGGCCUUGUGCUCAAUACUUAUGCAAAACCAGUUGUCAAUUUCCUUGGACCAGUGAUGCCAGUCGUUGCUAUGAUUUGCACUUCAUUGUGCAUUGGCAGUCCUCUUGCAAUUAAUCGGAGCCAAAUUCUGUCUGCAGAGGGGUUCCGAUUGAUUUUUCCAGUUAUAGCAUUUCACGCAGUGGCCUUCACGGUUGGAUACUGGGUAUCCAAAAUUCCAAGUUUGAGGUGAAUCUUCCUUUCCCCUAGAAUUUUAAAGUUCAUUGUUGGAAGUCAUAUCUUGUCCAUGGUGAUGAAGAUUUGUGGGCCUUGGCAUGAUAUCAUAAUAAGUAGCCAUUGCCCUUGUUUUGAUGAUUUUGAUUCAUCCUUGAUGAUAUUGAACUUUAUAGUACGCAAGUAAUGGCUUAUCUUGUCCCUCCAUGCUCUUGCAAACAGCAUGGAUAUUUGAUAAUUAUACCCAGGUCCAAAACAAAAAUUUUGUUGUUCUUUUUACUUUAAGUUUUCCAUGUUCACUUUGUGAUUGACAUCUAGUUAUAACUCAGGUUUGUAUUGACAAUGGCUCUGUUUCUACGAAUAGUUUCUAGGGGUAGUCAUUAAUCUAGCUGGGGUAUUUAACUGCCCUGAGCAGCAGCUUUUGAUUCCGCGCGUCCCCUUAUAGAUGAUCUUUAUUGUUGUCACAACAGGCAAGAAGAAGAAGUUAGCAGGACACUUUCCUUGUGCACAGGAAUGCAAAGCUCCACCCUGGCAGGUCUCCUGGCAAGCCAGUUCCUUGGGAGCAGCCAGGCGGUUCCUCCAGCAUGUUCGGUUGUUGCCAUGGCGAUCGUGGGCCUUUUUCUUGCCUCUUUCUGGGGCACCGGCUCUCAAAUCAGAGACCUGCCUUCCCUAUUGAUGCCUCAAACUGGUUCUACAAUGAAGGCUUAGUAGUGAAAGCAACAAUCAGAGAAUUCACGGGGGCAUACGAUAAUGCUAAUUUAGUGCAUACCGAUGAUGGUCAGGGUCAGGGAUACUAACGCAGAACAUAACGAAGAAGGUAAAAUAGAAGAGGGAUCGGUAGUGGCCGUGCUGAACUACCUCAACUGAGCUGUAAAGUCAUACUGCAUACAGAGGAUCAGGAGCCAAAACAUCGAUAGCGGGAAAACAAUAGUUUAGGCUAGAAUUGUAAAGUUGUUAAGCAUUUUAUACUAUAGGAUCUUCAUCUUGCUACUUUGUAAACAAUCAAAAGAAAAAAAAAAAAAAAAAAAAAAAAGAUUUGGGUUGUAGAGUGCAUUGUCAUCAACAUGCUUGCAUUUUGCCCCUUUUUUUGGGGGUUACAAGUUGCCCAGAGGCCAAUCAAUUUGCCUUUUUCAAGUUACUACUGAAAUUUCUUCUCUAUAUUAAACUUGUGUCGUGCGGUACUUUCAAUUUAGUACUUUCCUGAAACAAACGCUGACGGGCUGGUGGGCUGACCAGCAAAAGCCACUUCUCUUGCGGCCCAAGUAACAUUCCCAACUUGGGCCCCAAGUCAGAAUCGAUUUUGGAAAAUUAGAAUUAGGGCUUUGCAGUGAAAACUAACAAAACCAACCAUGGCUUCAGUUUCUUAGCCAGCAGUUGCAUUGAAGAACCCUACAAUCAACGGCUGACGAUGCUAGCUCCAUUAAAAAAAGGGCUUCCAUAUUACAAUACUUGCAGGUGUUUAUGAACUGUGAAGAGAGUGGUGACUUGAAAAAUGCAAAGAAGAUAUGGAUUAUAUUGCUGAAAAGUAUGAUGAAAGUUGCUGAAAACUCAAUUUAAUCAUCAUUUUCAGUUAAUUAAUUUCUGUUGGUUUAUCUUUUUAAGCAGCCUGUUAUUGUUUACAUGUACGUUGAUACUUGGAUAGGGAUAUAUUUUUGAAUUGGUGGAUGUAGUUUUUUUCUUUAUAACAAAGAACGAAGAAUUUUGUGGUGAAAUUGUUAGAUAUAUUGAUCAAUUUGUCGUCGAUGAGUGGAUAGUGGUAAAAUGAGAAACUUAUUUUCUAUUUUAAAUAUGAUGAACAUACAAAGGAUAGCCCAUCAAUGUUUUGAAAGACGAGGUGUAGAGGUGAGGCGUUUUUAGUUGAGCACAGAGAGGCGUAAGUCUUGAAGUUUUCAGGCACCUCGCGUGGUCUUCUUCUUCCUCUUGCAGAUGCUCCUCGCAAACCCAUAAAGCGGCUCUUCACAGUGCUUUCCUACUCCUCGCCGUUGACGCGCGCUACUCGUGCAAAUAGCUAAACAAUGGAACGCCUGAGGCGGUUUUCUCCCUCGCUUCGAUGCACGCCUACGCCUUUGAAAACACUGGAGCCCAUGCAGAAAAUAUUGUGAGGCAUGCCUUCAAAUUUGAUUAUAAACUUUUGUAUUGCACUUAACAUUAGCUCAAUUGGGGGUUAACAACUUACAGUUCGGUAGGGCUCGUUUGGUGCAUAGAAUUGGACUGGAUUGGAUAAGUCACUAAAUCUAAGGUAUGUUGAAGGAAAUGAAAUUUUUUUAACCAACUUGUAGGUAGAAGAUGGAUUACUUAUGAAGAAAACUUAUCCCAUCUAAUCCCCACAAAAUGAUAGAAUAGUAACACCUUAUAACUAAUCCCUGAUACCCUAAAAUACAGAGAAGACAAACAAUUUAGACAACAGAUUUUAACUUAAAUAUUGAUCAGAAAUUAGUAGAUCCUUUUUCUUUGGUUAGAUAUAUUGAACUAAAAUUUGGCAAAAACAACCCACGUUUUGACACAAAUUAUACAGUUUGUUGUAUUUUCAAAGAAGCUUUUACCCACAAGAGAAAUGAAUAAUUCAAGAGUGAGGCAGAAACAUAUAUGGUUAGGAUAAGGAAAUCAUUCUGUGUCUGUACAUGAAACAAUUGGAUGACAACCCUCUAAGUAAACAGAUGGAUUACUUGGAGAAAUCAAAGCAUAAUCAUGAUUUACUUGGACUCUUAAUCCUCUAUCAACACAUUUAACAAGAUGCUCUCUCUCUCUCUCUCUCUCUCUCUCUCUCUCUCUCUUAAUCCAAGUAAACAGAUGGAUUACUUGGUGAAAACCAUAAAACCCAUCAGCUUCCCACAUAAAAAUCAACAACUUCUAGAGUUGUAUUACAUAUUUCUGUUUUCAUUUUAUUUUGCUUCCAUGGUUACACUGCAACUUCAUUUUUCAGAUCAUAAUUGUUCUCUUUUUGGAUGAUUGAAAUUGUAAUUAUUAUAUAUAAACCAAUCCACACAAUUAAGAACAUAGCUGAUCAAUGAUCAUCAAGCAGCAGAGUAAAUAUCUGCAAUCCUUCUCAUCACCUUUACCUGAGUGUUGAGACACUUUAUGUAAUGGGCAGCCUCAUCCAACAAGCUGCAAAUAUCCAUGGCUUCCCCACCUGGCACAAACUUUCGAAGCUCAUUCGCCUCACUAUUAACACCAAUCUCCUCACCAUCCUCGCACUUCUUCUUCUUCUUCUUCUUCUUACUGUUAUCAAUUCUUCUGGCUGAGUACUUAUAAACCCGUGGAGCCCCGUGGCUUCGAAUCUUCGUAAGCAAAGCUCGGCUCCAAGCUCUUCUAGACCCAACAGCUGAAGCCAUGGAUGCAUCAGCAGCAAUCUUAACACUCAAGUAUCUCCUACACAUCUCCCUAGGAGAAGAUACAUUUGGUGACCUAGAUCUUUGCCCUUGUAUUCUCUUCAAGGCUUGAAGAAACCCUUUGGUGAACCUAGAUUUCACACUUGUUUUAGGCCUCAAAGACAAGCUCUUUGGAUUCAUAGUGGCUAAGCAAGAAUUAGGAUUUUUGGGAAAUAGGGUUUUGAAAUUGAGAGUUGGGUGUUAGGUAUAUUGGACCAAAAGACCAGCAAACAAUUGGAGAUAUAUAGAUUUUAUUCUGACACAAAGGGUCCUCCUUGCUCUCAAAGCUCACAAGGACAAAAGGAGAAUCAUGUUCUGACACAAAUGUCUGUGUGUUUGUGAGAGAGAGAUAAAAUUUGGGGGGUAUAAAGAGGAAGGGAAAGGCCAAGGAAUCAAUUCUUUAGGAUACUACAAAUAAUUGCAUAUUAAUUAUUCUUGGGUCUUCUCUAGCUUUGGGGGUUUAGGAGGUGAAAAGUGGGUUUUGUGGGGUUGCUAAGAGCCAACCACCAUAUGAGAGCACAUGGUUGCAUUACCCACUUGGAUUAAUUGUGGGGUCUUAACUUCCAUUUCCUCUCUCUUUGUUCUUUUAUGGAUUGAUUAUAUAUACAUUUCCUAGUAAAUCGUUGCAUACCUGUUUACGCCAACUUUGAAACAUUUUUAAUUUGUGUUUUUUGGUCAUCAGUGACCUAAUGGUGGCGGCAAAGGGUGGAAUUGGUGAUCAUCAUGCCAUGUUCUAGUGACCAAGACUAAACGCAGUACUUUAGGGUACUUUAUGUUUAAAACAAUGUUAAUUUAGAGAUGCGAAUUAGGACAGUGAGUUCGUAUCUUUGCAUCCAAGUUCGAAUCUCCUUCCUUUAAAUAACGUUUUUAAAAAUAUUUACUUAUGCAUCGAAGACCGGUAUUUGAUUCUUAACUCCUCUAAUAUCAUUUUUAUAUAUAUAUAUAUAUAUAUAUAUACUAGGAGUAUCCACAAUCAUGCUCUCUAUUUUUUAGCUAAAUUUUAGCUAAAAACAUAUAAAAUUUAUUUUAGGAGCUCUCUAUAAAAUUUAAACUCCAAUCAUACUAUCUAGUUUAGGGAGUCAUAAAUAUGAUAUAACUCUUUUUUAAUUGGUCCAUCUGUAUUAAAAAAAUAAUAAAUAUUAAUUAAAGGUUUCAAAUACUCAUUAAAUAAAGCAGCAUUAAAUUAUAGGGAGAUACAAGGAGUCUUUUCUCUCUCUUUAGAUUUAGGAGCUCCUUAGAGGUAUUCCUAUUUUAGAAGGUGGAUAGGGAGCAUGGUUAGAGUUGUAUGUUUCCAAAUCCUCCUUAAAAUUUGUCUAAUGAAGUGGUUUAGGGAACCAAUUGUGGAUGCUCUAAUGCAGGGGCGGAGCCACACUGGGACUAGUGUUGUCUUGGGCCCCCACUCAAGUUUUUUUAUAUUUUAAAAUUAAUAUAUUGUUAUGUAUUUCUAUAUGUAUAUUAUUUCAAAUACUUUACGUUUUGAUAUGUACACAAAUGUGUUGUGGCAGAUCUAUUAAGGCACAAUGAGGUGCUUCAAAUUGCCCAUUUGCUUAGUUGGUGGUGGUGCACUCCAAGUGUACAGAUUACCUUAUUUCCAUUUUCAGCAUUUAAGUAAAUGUCUUUGUCCUUUUACUUUCAUUUAUUUUUACAUUACUCCAUUUACUUAAGUUUACAAUGUAAAUAAAUAAGUACCCCUUAUUUGGAUUCAAAUAAAAAUACUAGAAAAUCACAUUCCCACCAAAUCAAAAUAUGAAAAAUCAGUUUUAGUGCAAAAAAUACGAUUUAGGCUAAAAAUAAUGGUUCAUUAAGUCAAUAUAUACUUUAUACUAAAAUCCCAUAAAAUCAAGUUUUCUUAUUUGAUGUGUAAGGAAUAAAAGCCACCAAAAAUUAUCUUGAGAAAAUGAUUAUUUCGAAAAAACCAUUUUUCAUACUUAGUCAAUAUUUUUACAUAAAACAUUUUUUCAUGUAUGAUAUGAAUGUAUGAAGGGACCUAAGGUUUUUUUUUAGUUUGUGAAAUUUUGAUUUUUUCUUUCUAUUGGGUUUAAUGGGGGAAAAAGCUUUAAAUAUAUUUGCUAAAUCGCUACUCUUUGUCUAUCUCUUAUAAUUUUUCUUGCUUAAAAUGUAUUUGUCUAUCCCUUUGUCGAGGACAAUUAUAAUUACAACCAAUAAGCAAUAUAAUUCUUGACAUAUGUGAUAUAUAUAUAUUAUUUUUCGUAUGUAUUGUAAGUUCGAACUUUUGAUUCUUUAUAAUUUGUAAGAGACCCUCACACACAUGAAAUCCUGAAUUCGUGACUGCUCUAAUGCAUCGUGGUGUUAAAAGGAUCACAUGGCUCCAAUAAGGAUCAUAAGAAAUUAAAUAAAUCUUGCACGAAUGUAGGACCGUUAAUUAUACAACAUGAAUCUUAUAAAAUCUUGAUGUAAGUAAGAAGGUUGACCGUUGCAUAGUAAAAACUACUAUAGCUAAAAGCUAAUAGUGAAUUCCACUUCAAUUCCAGCAGGCAGCCACCCAUCUCUCUAUUGCAUAAUCUUGGAGCAUGAAAACCAAUACAUAGCUAGUUUUUAAUUUCCCCAUGAAAGUGAUGUUGACAUUAAUUUAGGGUAAUUUAUUUCCCUAAGGUUCUUUUUUUAUAAUUACUUUAAUCAUAUGCCAAAUUAAAAAGGACCUUAAAUAACUUCUAAAGAACAAACUGACAGAUAUGCAUGCAUGCCAAAAUGCACACUUGAUUGGAGCUUUCAACCAAAUGAUCCACUGCUACAAUUUGAUCACUAGCAAAAUAAGAACAUGGGUGGGCCUAGGUUACAUGACAUACCCUUCAAUAAGCUCUAGAAUUAGACUGAUUAACUAACUCAUAAUUAGGCUUAAUAUUCAAAUUAAGUUGGAUCAACACAUCUAGCCUACCUCUCUGAAUUAAUUAGGGCAUUGUUUGGACCACUAAUGUGCAUGCUGACUCAGUGUUUUGUGUGUGCAUCCUCAUUGAGCACACACACGAUUAUUUUUUUUAUUUUUUUUUGUACGAAUUCAAAUAUUUAAUUUUCUCACACAAGAACAAAAGAAAAUGCAUUAGGUUGACAUGCUGCAUAGAUUAAUUUUGUAUAAUUUAUAUAGUACGGCUGUUAAUUUUAAUUUUAAUUUUCUUCCUUUUAGUGUUGGCCAACAAGUUAUAAAACUGGCUUUAUUGUUCAAUGAGCUUAAUUUGGCGCCUCCACAAACUACGAGAGUCAUUAUAGAAUACUACAGUAAUACGGUUACGUAGUUCAUCUUUCAUUACAUUUUUAAAUUGUUGGGUUUUCAUCACGUACGUAGUCAAAAGCAUAUGCUCUAUGCUUCUCUGUUUGCCUUUCCAAAUCUGUAGAAGCUUCCACAGCUGGCAGUCGCCAUGCAAUAGUUCAAAGAACAAUAUUAUGGUUUACAUUUAUUCAGUCCAAAUUAAUGGGACAUUUGCAUUGCAGCAAGCUUAUAAGCUAGCUCCAAGUUUGAGAAGUUACUUGAGGCUUAAGCUCCAAGCUUAACACAUUUACAUUAUUUUAUCUGACUGUAUCUUAAUUAACAAACUGUAGAGAUUAUCAUUUUCAUUGGCAAAUCAACAAUAUCUUCCUCUAAAUAACACAAACGAAAGGUCGAUUGGGCUACAUUAUCGGGAUAUAUGUUUACACUAGUUGAGUUAGCCUUAUCAUAAACCAUCAAGGGAGUGAGCUAUAGGUUUGUCUUUGAUAUUGAUCCAAGGGUUCUUUAAUUUGAACAGGGAGCUUAUCGCACGCUCAAUCCUUUUUUCUUUCUUCCUAUAUAUAUAUAUAUAUAUUUGUGCACGCCUUAUUUAGAGGUAACAUAUAUAGUUUUAGAACUCAUCGGAUCACAUGAGAUGGUCGUGCGUGAUGAUAAUUGAUGUAACGAGUACACAUUAACUGACUCAUUAUACGAUUAACUAUAGUAUAGUUUGAAAAUGUGAUUCCUUUUAGCACUUUUAUUUACUUAAACCAAAUUAAGAAGGAUACCAUGAAAGCAGGGUUUGAGAGAGUGGGAAGAGAAUCCAAAUUCAAAACGCUUGAGAGAUCAUAACUUUUGUAUUCAGCUCUACAUCAGUAAGGUAAAGUUUUCAUCCUCAAGUAUACAUAGAAUGCUUAGUUCGAAAUAUACUCAAACAAAUGUAUCUUAAAGCUCUCCAAGUCUUCUAGGACCCCAAACUAAAAUGUCCGUAGCUAAAUAGUACUAAACAAAACAUGAGAGCUACAUUUCGAAUAGUCGCGAAAUCUCCACGACUGAGGAAUUUGCAUGCUAUAUAGCUAGGUUUUUUUAUUAUAAUUUAUGAUCUUAUUUUUUCAGUUAAUUUAUAAAGACAUGUGAAGCAAGCAAGCAUGUCUACAAAGUAAUAAGAUUGAUUUGUUUCCGUGACUAGUUUUGAUUUGAAUCGGGUGGUAGGAGAGGAAGGACAUAUCAAAAAGAUAUGAGUACUAAUAACUGGACAAAGCAAAUCACGGGUCACAUGGAUUCUUUGACCAAUCCCAUCCUCCUGUACUCAUCACGCCCUCUUUUCUUAAAAGAAAUAAAGAAAUUAGCGUAUUAUUUGUAGAUAUAUCUUAAUUUGAAAUUAGGAUCCAUUCAAUUUCUGUACCUGUUUAUCCCCAAUUCCAAUCAAGAAAUGCAAUUUAAGAAGCUCAAAAUUGAAAUAUCAAAUAAGAAAAAUUAAGAUAACUAAAAACGCGAUUGGAAUAUAUAUAUACACACACACAAAAAUAUAAGAACAUAAGUAAUAAUUAACAUCACUACAUCUCCCCAAUUUUACAAAUAAGAGUAGUUCUUCAUACCUAUAUAUAUAUCCUCCUUGUAUAUCCUCUUUCACUUUUAUUUUAUUUUACCAUAUCCAGAUCAAGUUCAUAAUAAUUAUACAUCUCUUUUUUCGUAUUUUUUUGUGUUCCUGUAAGGGAUUUAGGGUCAACACUCAAGUAGUAGAGUAAAUUGCCACAAUUGUCCUCAUGACCUUUACCUGUGUGGUAAGGCACUUCAUGUAAUGGGCUGUCUCCUCCAACAAGCUCCAAGUAUCCAUGCCUUCACCGCCCGGUAUAACCUUCCGCAGCUCAUCAACUCGCCCUAAACCCGCCACAACCGGCUUCUUCUGAGAUCUUUUCUUCAUGGGGUAGUGAGUACUAGUAGUAGUAGUACCAAUUCUCCUCAAAACUCCGCCAUUUCGUGCUUGGUUUCGGAUCUUCCAUAGCAACUCCCGGCUCCAAGCUCUUCUUGUCCCUACAGCACAAGCCAUGGAUGCAUAUGCAGCAUUCUUAAUUCUCCUAUAUCGUCGCUGGAUCUCUCUUGAAGAAGAUGAUGAUGAUCUGGGUUGAUGCUUGUUUAUUCUGGCUAGGGCUUUGAGCAAGCCUUUGGUGAACCUAUACUUCAGUGAAUUAGGGUUGGGAGAAUUCAUGGGAUUCUAUAUAUGUAUAUAUGUUUGUAGGGGGAAACAAAAUUAGGGUUUGAUGGAAGAGUUCAGUUGGGCUUGGGGGUACUUGAAAUUAGAAAGCUAGAGGUGAACUUUUAGGAGGAAAGACAAAUGAACAAGAUAGGAGAUUUUCUGCUGACACAAAGGGGUCCAGUUUGCUCACAAACCACCAGGACAAAGAGGAGAGAAUUUAGUUUGUGAACUCUGACAACACUGUCUAUCCUUCAAAACUACCCCAAAACUACAGGAGAUCUAGAGAGGGAUAAUGUGAUUGGGCAAUUUAAGGAAGAGAGAUGAUGAGAGGGAAAUGGGAAAAGAAAGAGAGAGAGAGAAUAUUGGCAAUGGGAGGUGUAAAGAUGGAGGAGACUUGAAGAAUCAACCUUUAAUAAAAUUAUAUAUGAAUAUUAUUAAUUAAAUUAGGGAUGGCGAGAGAUAAUGCAAUUGAAUAAUAAGUUUAUAGCCUCUUUCAUUUUCAACAUGAGUUUUGGAGGUGAAAAGGAGGCUUCGUGGGGCUACAAAAGGACCAACCAGCAUAUGAGCGCACAUGGUUCCAUUUACCCACUUGGAUUAUGGGGCCUUUUUUUUUUUUUUUCCUCUCUUCAUUUUGUUCUGUUAUGCAUCUUUCUCUCACUAACUUGAUGUUUAUAUCCCUCUCUCGGUAUUAUAUUCGAAUUUGUCUCCUUUUGGUUUAUAAGCCAAUGACAUGAUAUACAUAUUUAGUGCAUGGUGAUGGUUGGUUAGCUAUAUAUUGUGGUGGAUGUAUAUGACAUGAUAGCAAUGGCCGGCGGCCGACAUGUAAUGUUAUGUGCCUUGUAUGUCAAGUGUCACUUUAAUUUUGUUCACGUUGGAAGAUAGCCGUAAAUAUCGUUGAGGCUUCUAGUUUUAGUGAUAAAGUAUUUUAACUCAUAAUAUAAUGUCGUCGAAAGAAUUCAAACUCCUAAAAUUAGAAUGAAUUCUUUCAACGAUCUUAUAUUAUGAGUUAAAAUCCUAUAUUAAGAAUUUCUAUACAGGAAAAGACAACACAAUCAAUUCCUAAUAUAGGAUUUGAACUAAAUGAAAUGACAACAUGCAUAUUGAACAUUUCCCCUCAUAAGUUUCAACUUUUUACUAAGAUCCCAUAAAAAGGGGAGCUAGCUACUAAUGUAAAAGUGUACUGCUUUGAAUUUGAUGAUAAAGUAUAGGUUUUCCGUUGAUCAUGUGAAGUGACAAUAUUUAUGAGGAAAGUGAGAAUUUGCAAAUCGAUGUAAGUUUUAGUAUUAUUUUAUAACAAUUUUAAAAUCUAAUUCGUUAUGACUGCUGGCGACAAAAGUAACAUUCAAGAUUUGAUCUUUUAUUUUUUAUAAAUUAAAUUUUUAUUUUUAUAUUAUAACUUAUACAUCAUUGGUUGAGUACCUAAGUUUUUUAAGUCCCUAUGUGAGAGAGAGAGAGAGAGAGAGAGAGAGAGAGAGGCAGGUGAAUUUGUACGUAUAGCUCAGUGACCACAUAGCUAAUAACACCUUUGCCACCCUAAGGGCUAGUUCGCCUAAUAUAUGAAUAUGCUUGUGGUUGAUUGAACCACCACGAAUUACACCGGAUGAAAUUGAUUGAUAACAUUUUAUAAUUAUAUUACCAAUAAUAAUAAUGCGAUUCUUGAUGCUUCGAUUAAUCAUUAAAGGCGAAAUCAUGAAUUUUUAAUGAGGGUGUGAAUUAUAAUUUUCUUUUUCACUUGAGAAACUAUUAAGGUGAAGUGGACUAAUUUUGCGCAAAUGGGGUAACUAAUUGCUAUUAUUCUAAAUAUUUGUAAAGGAUUGGAGUCCACUCUAGCUUAAGGGCGGCUCCGCCCUAAGUUUGUCAUAAUAAUUGAUAUAACAUGUAGAUAUAAAGGGUCAGUCUUAUGAAAAGGGCCUUGACAAGUGGUUUCAUGUUCAAAUCUCCAUGACAUCUUGACACUAUAUGUGCGAGAAAACCCUUUUUCCGUUCUUAACUAUGGCAACAACAAAAAUGUAGACAUAAAUAGUUCAUAUGAACAGUUUACAUAUUGGAAGAUGCUGAAUUACACUGUUCUCUGUGAGAAAGCAAGAAAUUAAGGAGCGAAAAUGGCGAUCGAUGUCUGUUUUGUGUGCCCCUCUCACGUCCCAACACGUUGAAAAGUUAUGUCUUUUGUUUAAUUUGUCCUUUGGGUCUCAUGAAAAUCCCACGGGACAACUGAAGAUAGUUUAAUUUUAAUGGCAUGGCUUAAAAAUAAUUAAUUAAAAUAGAACCCCUGGAAAAUAGAAAAUAUAUGUAUUCUCGAGUGAGUGAUUGACAGAGAUGCAAAACAAAAGGCAAUGCACAGAGCAAACAUGGAGUUUCUGUUUUGGCCUUCAAUGGCAAAGCUUGAGGAAUUAAUAUGGGGUGGGCCUGGCUUGCCUUCAAAUGGCCAUACACAAACCAAAGCUUUAGUAUUAGACUUUAACAAACUCAUAAUUAAGCUAUGCGUGUUGAGAUAAUAAGCAGGAUUAUCCACAUGCUGGUUAAUUUAUGCAUCUUCAAUUUGCUAAAGUCAGGACCACCGCUGGCUUGUGAUGAGUCACUCACAGGUGUCAUCGUGGCUUCUACGAACAGCAAAUUUUAUUCAUUAAAUGAUGUAACAGUGUCUAACUCAGGAUUAUCUUUUUUUCACCAAAUGACGUAACAGUGUUUAAUUAAUGUUCUGUAAUGACAAUUACACAAUGACCCCAUAGAAAAUUUUGAGAACUACCAUAUUGAAUUAGAUCAUGAACCAUUUUGAGUUAAUCCACUAUCGAAGGACUAUGAAAGCUUACCAAACCAAACAGAAACAAGUCCAUGGAUCUUAUUUGUGAUUGCUGAAAAGAAAAAAAUAAAAACCAAACAGAAAAUCCACUACAAGACUAAGACAGAAGAACAAGACAUGUCAUGUCAAGUCAAGUGGCAUUAGGUUGACCCCAAAAGGGCUUCUGUACAGCAAGAUUUUCAACCUUUGUAUCUUUGGCCAAAAAAAAGAAAUUUAAUAUUCAUCGAAGGCCAUCAAACUGGUUGAAAGAUUAAUAUACAAUUGCACUUUGAGCCUUAACCAAAUUGGUUGAAAGAAAUGCUACAACAACAGAGGACCAUAUAAUCAAAAUGUCAUUUAAAUAAUACAAAUGGGUAGGCUAUUCACAUAUGCUGCCUGAACAAAAUUUGGUUUGAGAAAACACUUCAAUUCCUACUAUUACAUAUAUUGAUUAUUGCAAUCAAUUUUGCAAUCAAUUUUAACAGAAAAAAUAAAAAUAAAGGGAAGAGAAAACUCAUGAGCUUAAAAAUAGAAACUUGGUAAGAGUUUCCCAAUCCUAGCAUGUUUAUAAAUUUCCAUGCUCCUCCAUUGAUGACUCAGAAGCAGAGUCAUCAGUUGUGGAAUUGGAGAUUGUCUCCAAUUGGCUGGAACCUUCACUGUCUGAAAUCCCAGAUGGUCUGUCCUCAACAGGUUGUUUCAAGAACCAGUACAUUAUGCUUGCAGUCAAUGUAAGGAUCAUCUUUUGAUUCACCUGACGAAACGAAAACAAAAUUGUUCAUCAGAAAAAGGAAUUGAUGAAAAGUUUAGUAGUUUAAAAUAAAGCCAAGGUAAUGAUCCCAAAAGUACCUCAGUUAUGUCUUCAGGAAGCAAAAAUAUUGAACAUCCCAGCUUCCUUGCAAUACUGAUGAUGUAGGUGGCAUUCAUCUUUUUCUCAUCAUCUAUAUUGUUCAGAAAUUAAAGAAAACAUAAGGCAUCAAAGCAACAGAAGAACUUGAAGAACUUGAAUUUUUUACCACAUGAAAAUAAGAGGGAAACAUACCAGUUACUCCUUUGGUAACAAGGCUCCAAUUUACCACUCUAGGCUGCACAGCGCUCAGCAAUUCAAGGAAGAAAGUGCCAUCUGACAAACUCUUAUCCUGUAAGAUUGAAACAGCAACUUAUGAUGAAAUAUAUUCCUACUGUUUCAUACCAAUGGAAAUAUCAGGCAAAAGAAGUGCAUUUUGUUUUUCUACUUCUUUUUUCAUCCCUAUUAUACAUGAAAUACAAAUGGUACCUUAAAACUAUUCAUGCGGCUAUGGCUUCUUGUGCUACUAACUUUGGUGUUGGCCCAUUCCAGAAUAUCAGCAUCAGUGAUUUCCUUCCCAUGAGAGUGAAAUCUCAAGUUCUUUAGUAGUUGUAGGAUGUUGUACCGCAUCAAUUGCCACAAAUAAGCUGAAAAGUAAAAGCAUAUAAUAAGCAUACCAAUAGUUUCCUGUGUUUUGAAUGCACUAGCCAUAAGCAUUCCAGCGGACUUACCAAGUAUUAACUUUUUAUUCCCCUGCACAAUAUCAUUUCCAGCAAUAUUUACCAAAGAAAACUUCAAUUGUUUCCCGAUUUUUACGACCUGAUUGCAGUUUUCUACUUUUCUGAAUGGCAUUUUGAUUGGAGGCUUGUUUGCAAUCUUCCAAUUGACAAUGCCUGGUGAAAUCUUGUCCAGGGACUCCAGAAGUGCCCACCUGCAGAGGACCAAUUUCACUUCAGCUCCAGAUGAAAUUAAAGAUCAAUCAGUUUGAAUAGCUAGCAAUGUCUAACUGUGGAAGCACUUGAAUUUAGUUUACAUCAAUUAUGACAUUUAAACAAUUAUCUCAAUGUUUUUAGAAAAUUUCAAAGUUUGGAAUUUUGGUUUUGUUGUGAUGUGAAGAUACAUGCCGCCAGGUGCAACACUAUAAUAAGUUGAUCAGAAUAUGAAUAACUUAGGUUCAGGAGGAUAGACAAACACAGCGAUAUUAACCAUAUAUUAUCAUAAAAGUUCAAAACAAAAUGAGUUUUUACCCGUUUCUGAGGUCUUCAAAGACAUUAUUGAUAUAUGUCGAAUUUCCGAGACUAUUCAUCCAGAAGCGAAAUGCCCUCUCUUCUCUGGAAAUUUGAGUGUCAUCUGCCAAAUUUUCAAGGAACGAUAUCUGCUUUGUUUGGGUUGAGAGCCCAUUCCUACAAGUGAAUGAGUAGAACUUAGCUUUUUACCACUAUGAAAGCAGCCAUUCUUUAAGGAAUACAUUGCUCAAGUAGGGUUAAUUCUCAUUUCUCACCUAUGCUGGAAAAUAUGUGCAACAAAAGCAAGGUUAAGGUUUGGGGAUCCUUCAACAAUAUCUUUUGCAGUCAAGUAUCUCUUGCAUCCCAUCCUAUCUGCAUGUUCAAGAACUAACUUUGCUCUUUCCAAAGGAUUCUUUGCAGCCAAUGCAGAUGGAUUACUGUGCUCAGGUGCCAGAACAUUUAAGAGGUGAGCAUAGGCCUCUGCAUCCUGCAAGACAGACAUAUCUCAUACCCUCGAACACAAGCAAUAUCCUUGCAAUGUAUGUCAAAUCUAUGUGGCUACACCUUUCCUAUUUGCUUCUCUAAAUAAAGAAGGAAUGCUAUGUCCAUCAACCUUGACAAAGUAUUAACUUAUUCUCAUACCUUGACAUCAGAGGAGAAGUUUGUGACUAUCUUUUUAUAUCCUGCUUUCUUCAGUUGGAAAUUCAUCCACCUCAGUAAUAUCUUCUCUGGUGGUAGACUCAUCAACUCCUCCACAUCCUGUCGAUUUUGAAGAUAAGAAGACAUUAGACAAUUUGUUGGUUUAAAACCUAGCCACGAUCUUUUAUGAAUUAGGACGCUCUUACCUUACUAUCAUCAACCAACUCCACCAAUUGAGGUGUUUUCUUCAAGUUGAGGUCUGCCAGUAAUUGUAUCUAUAGAGCAUGACAUUGGGAAACCGAUGGCUCAGAUAUAGUCCAUGAAAUUUUACAAAAUCAAAUUUCAUGCUGAUGAACUUUAUAUCCAAACAAACUUAAAUAAACAUGAAAAUCCUACCUUGAUAAUCUGAGAAAUCACUCCAAGAACAAGAUGACGCUGAAAAGCAAACAAUAAGGACAAUAUUGGUCAGUAUCCAUUGCAACUAUGUAUAGUUAAAACACUCCACUCAAUUAAGCAGUAGCACAACAUGUGCCAAUUAUAUAAUGUACAUGAAAAGGCAUGUAUGCAUACCCUUCCUUCAAUGAAAUCCUGAGUCCCUAUAUUGACCACAGUGCAUCCAACAGCUUUAGCUGAGUUGAGGCACAGAGUGUGAUUUUCAUUUCUCUCCCACGGAUUGAGUACUCUCUUUGUAUUGAUAGCCCUUUCGUCGAUUGUCCCGGGCACUGCCACAUUGAUCAGCUUACUGCAUCCAAAGAAACACAUCCCUAAAAAUCCAAUCCACAAUCCCACAAACAAGUAACUCAACAACAAGAUACCAAAAGUGGCAGUAAUGAAUGAACAAUCAAUCAAUCACCAUAGAAGUACUCCAUCCUUGACGAUCUCGAAUAAAUCAUUGGUUGAUGGAUCAAUAGGAAGGUAUUUCUUUAGGAAAUCAUCCUGUCCAAGGUAGUUAUUGAUAUGGGCAACAUAAGAAGCCUUCUCCGAUUCGCUGAUUGUAUGAAGCAAAGUGGUGGUUGCAGCCUUGAGAAAAGCAGAUGAGGAGUUGUUCUUUCCACCACUUCCUGUUGUAGCAGUAGCAUGAGCUUGGAGUUUCAAAUAAACCUGCCAUUUUUGCAAACUUGUAAAACCACAUUUUCCAAUUCAACCAAGAUGAAGAUGGGUCUUAAAAUCAAUAACUUGAGCUUCAGUUUCUUCAACAGUUCAACUUUAUAUGCAUUAUCUAAUCAAUAAACAGAUAACAAACAGGGCAUUCAGCAUUAUUUAGUUGAUUGAUUGCCAAUUGGGUUUGAACUUCGAAGUAAAAGUGUAGAAACAGACCCUGAGGAAGAAUUCAAAAUCGACAUCUUCAUCAAGGUUGGGAUGCAAAUCUUGAAUGAAAGAAGCCCUGUCUUGGUCAGUGAGAUUCUCUGAUCCCACAACUUUGAGCCUUGACAUCUUGGCAGGCAAGUCUCCAAGUGUGAGCUUUCCACUCUCCCUCUUCAUGCUCACAAACUUCAUCACCAUCAUCACACAUUUCCAACAACAAAAAUUGUCAAUAAAAUAAAAUAAAAUACCAAAUGCUGAAAAGACAGGGACAAUGAACAUACAUGAGAUUUUAAGCUGCGGAGCUCGACUUGGGUGAACUGGUUCUGUAGCCACGGAUCUGAAACCAGAAUGCCAACAUAACCCGACAUUUUUGGAGCUACCCAGAAGAAGAAGAUGAAGGAUUGAGCUGAGCUUAGCUGAAAGCUGAAAUCUUUCACUCUUUCUCUUUGAUAUCCCCACAAACCCAAGUUUUAUUUAAUCGAUUUAUGGCUUUAAUUAUUUGAAGUUUGAAACUUUAGAGCAGAGGAAGCAGUACAAGUAGGAGGAGGAGGCUCAAAUGAGGGUGGCCGAACACUCAACACAGUUGGGUCGGGGCAGAGCUGUCACACUCCAAAGUUGCUUCUUUUGAAUGAAGAUAGAGAAUUCAAAAUAAUGAAGAUAGAGAAUUCAAAAAAAAAAAAAAAAAAAAAUGACCAUCAUGUCCAACUAUGGAGGAAAGGAGAGGGGACCCACAAACACAAUGUCGUUGGAGAAUUCAAAUUAUGACCAAAAUGUCCUCAUCCUCGUCAUCCUAUUGCAGUUGGUGUUACAGUUUCAAGUUUCAACUGUGCUUAGACCGUUACAAAGUUCAAGUUUUGAACUUUGAUUAAUAAACAAUUAGGCCAACGUGAACAUUAAACAAUAUUAAUUAGCAAAGUUUGAUACAGCUUAGAGCUAGCUCAGUAGGGCUUUCAGUUGUUUUACUGUUUCAUUAGUGGGGAUUAUUAGGAUUGCUCAAAACUGCUAGAGCUCAAGCCGGGGAUUUAAUUAAAUUUAUUAUUAAUGUGGUCGGUCGUUUAUUUGAAGAAUUUUAUAUAUAUAUAUAUAUAUAUGGAUGAUAUAGGCAUUUGCCAAAUUAGGGGACCACUCACACCACUUGGAUAUAAAAGUUGGUUUGCCUUUUAAAAAAGCAGAGCUGAUAAGACAAUGGCUGUUUGGAUAUUCAUAUUUGACAGGGUUCAAGCAUUCUCAAAUUCUCAGUGAACUUAUCAAAAAGAAAAAAUAAAAUGCCAAACAGAGCACAUGAGUUAAUUGUUGUAGGAAGGUGAUCCUUGUGUGAGAGGGCAAGAACAAGGUGAGUUCAUUAAUUUGCAAGCCAUGUUGGUUGGGUAAGAUGUAUGUGAUGACUUUGAGGUGUUAAAUGUGAUGUGAUGCAUUUUGAAAAACAACCCUUGAGAUUGAUUUUUUAUUUUCGGCGUUCCUUUUGUUAGAUUAUUGUAUCCAAUUUCCAAGCACGCGCCAAAAAUUUUAUAGCUAAUUUAUUCGUUUAUUACAAUAGAAGAAAAUCGAACUCUUUACCUAACGCAGUUUUAAUUCAUUUUCCUACUCACUCUUUUAUCACUUGGACCAACCCCAAGAGCUUCACCAUUUUAGCUUACAUUGAUACAUGCUUCCGACAAUGUAGUCAUUUCACCAAUUAAUUGGUGAUUUAUAUAAAGUUUGUAUGAAAAGGAAACAAGAACAAUAACUUUUUAUCUUUUGAACCUUCUUUAGUUGUUAACCGAAAAAUGAACAGGCCAUGUUUCAAAAAGGCAGGAAGAAAGGUACGCACCUUCCUCCAAAACAUUAACACAAUGCCUCACUUGGUUGGUUGGUUCACUUGUAAUCCCUUUUUUUGUUUGGGCUGAAAUUUACUUGUAAUCUUAAGACAUGACAAAUGACAAGUUUUCACCUUUUCUUUAUUUUCCUUCUCUCAACCAAAUUUUUCUUCGACCAAAAAUCAAAACCAAAUGAUAAGUUUCCACCUUUUCUUUCUUUAUUCAUGUACCCCGAGUUCGAUAGUUUAGAUUAGAUUAUAUUAAAGUAGAAUAUCCUUUAUUGUAUCAAAGAGAAUUAUGACUGCAUAAAGGAAAUUUUUUGAAGACAGAAUGAUGCACCGCCGUUGAAUUUUUAUCUUUAUGGGUUAUGGUACUGGAAAGAAGUAGUAAAACCAACUUCAAUUCUCGUCAUGAAUUACCUCAUAGGUCAGAGUAACUAGUAUUUACCUUCUCCUUUCGAGUCUUAAAAUAUGGUGAAAACCCACUUAAAUUAAGCAUGUGAAAUGAAGUAUAAAAAAUUCAUCCAGAGAGCAUAGUAAUAUUUGGAUUUUCAUUCAUAAUCAUUAAGCAGCUCAAUAAUCACCAUAUAAUUAAUCAAAUACUCCUAAUUCAAUCUCUUAUAGGGAGCAUAUACUAAAGUAUAAUCAGAUUCGUGGGUCAUAAACUUCCAUAUUUCGUAUAGUUGUGAGGCACCAAUCUGCAAAGACGGUGCAGGUGGGCAACUCUGCUUUUUAUAAUCCAAGCUAAUCCCAUGAACAAAAACAAAGAGAUUUUGCAAACAAGAGAGCAUGGGGGAGGGCCAAGAUUGGUAGGCGUGGUGCCAAUCCAAGUGGGUAGAAAAGUGUAUAUACAUUUCAUAUCAUAUUUGCUUUACACAAAAGGCAAAUAAAAUUCAAAAAAAUAAAAAUAAAAAUAAAAAAGGGCAUGAAGAGGGCAUGGGAAAUAGCUUUUUAAAGAAUAGGGGGGAAUGUGGAUCAAUCCUUGCUGUGUUUGCUUCUACUUCUCAAGGCAUAUGAAUGAUUACCAAGGAGGUCCACUGAUGUGUGCACUGAUGCAAGUAUCAAAAUCCACACUUGUGGGACCUUACCACACAUGGUGUUGCACUAGUGUAUGUUUAUUGGACUCUUGAAUCUUCAUCAUACGUUCUUCUGAUUCUGGGUACUUUCCUUUCAACAAAGUAUGAUUUCAGGCAUACUUGUGUUUGAUUCCUAUUAUCAUUGGCAACAGAUUGGAAAAAAGAAUUAGUUUGAUGAAUUUCACUAGGAAAGAUUGGUAAUUUCUAGACCGAAGCUAAAUAAAAUUCUCUGUUCAAACGGCGCGUGAUUAGGAAAAAAUGGAGAUGGUGCACCUACCAUAAAAAGUUCAAAAUGCUAUCUCCUGAAGAACUUCAAGUGUCUUCUGAUGAACCUGUAUGUGAGAGACAAGGGAACAAAAUGAAUUGAUUCACCAGAAGAAUGUCGAAUAACAUGGCUAUAAAGUGAAGGAAAUUAUUGUGGGAAAUGAUAUGGCAAGCUAUUUGCACACCAUGACUUCCUCAAGCAAUCUACGACAUAUCUUACAAAUAACUUCUACGACUUCUUCAAAAUAAUAAUUAGAUAGAAAACUUUCGAAUAAAAUUGAAGACAGUAAUUCAAUUACAGUAGAAUUAAAAGCACAACUUUUUAAAUCUCUUGAAAGAAGAAGAAACUUUACCCAUUCUAGAUGUUGUGCGGUGAUACCAGAGACAUUUCCUGCAUAUAUACCACCUAAGACCUGGCAAGUUCAAGUCCAAGCAUGAAUCAGGAAUUUAUCUUAAACAGUGAGAUUGCUGCAUAUGUCAACUCGAUCAGAGUGGCUCAAGCCCAUUUAAUCUCAUAGAUGCUCCAGAGGGUAUGAAGUAUCUUUUAGAUUAGAAGCACCAAAUAUAGAUAUUGUCCUGAAAUGUAACGUUACCCAACUCGACCACACCAUGGUUGUUAGACAUCCUGAGGUCCAGAGGGCUUGAAAUGAAUGUGUUACAACUUACAAGUUAAAUAGGUGAAUCAAGUAAUUCUUACCUUGGAGACAGUCUCAAGAAACAUGCCAGGGCGCACAGGAAGAGCUUUUCGUCCUGUAACGCUUUCCUGGGAAUGAUGAUGAACGAGUCAAUAUAAUAUGAAACUGAAAACUAUUUUGACACGUGUCGGUGUGUGGGUGUGCACGCACGGUUCCCUGUUGAAACACACUUGCCAACACGCACACGUUCUAGUUAUGGACUGUAUUAUACCCACCCUUCCUGCAAUUCCACUCGUUCUACCAGUGGUAUCUACCUCAUCACUGCUAGCAUCAUCAGCACCUUCAUUUUUUCCUUCCAUUACAUUUUUUAUCAUCUCCUGGACAGUCUUCCCCGGUUUCAAAGCUACAAGUUUGGUUAAGAAGUUCACCUGCAUUGACAGGAAUCUUAAUCAUGCCAAACCAAUGACAGAGGAUGAUGGUAACUUAAAAUAAAAUUUUCCAAACAAAGGUAUGGGCCAAUGAAUCAACCAGGUAUCCUGUAAUCUUUUUAUAAAUGCAUAAAUACAGACCUCGGAUUCUGGAAGAGUGUUAAAGCCACGAUCAUUUCUCUCAUCUAGUAAUCCACCUCCCAUCAUAUUCCGAGCUUCCUCUCUGAUUAAAACAAGUCUUGCAAGCAGUUUUCGAUCUGGAACUACAGGCCGAGUUUCCAUUGUCUUCCAAAAAUGAAAAUAGGCUUAUAUUAACUUGAAUUAUUAAUAAAACAAAGUACAAAUACACACUUCACGAAACAAAAUAAGACAUUGAAGCAUGAAAAGACCAUAGUCAGUGCUACUGAAUGUCAUUACAUAUUACAAGUAUAGUGUCUGUAAGCUAAAAUUACUAUUUUCUCGUUCCAACAUUUUAGAGCAGUUCCAACAAUCCCAAGUAAAACAAAUGACAGAACACAACCCUAAAGAGGGGGAAGUUUGCUGCUAGUGCCCAGAAUGAUAUGCAAUAAUAUGCUAUACAUAUAUCAUCAAUAACCAAAAAAGCACUUAUGCAGAAGAUAGCAUUUGCAGUGAUUACCUCCAGUAUAUCAUCAGCCUGGUUAGCAAUAUCAUUAAGAUUUGCAGCUGGAACAUGAACUUUUAUGUCAUUCUUACUUUUGAACACACCACCACCUGCAGCCACUCUGCGUAGUAAUUCCUGUCUGCUUUCUUUCUGAGGAGUUCUACAGAGCAGGCCAACCACUUGAACCUAGAAAUAAAUAAUAUAAAAAAGUAAAGUGAAAGAAACUAGAAUCCAAUAACCACAAUUGCCUAGACUAGGAUUUGCCUUAAAGAAAAAUCCUUACAUGCGGGGGGCAUUUUUUCGUAAGAUAGGAUAAUACUGUCUCCUUGAUCACCUCCAAUAAUGACUUGCGCUGAACAUUGACGAUCAAAACAGUCAUUAAGUAAAUAAUCCAUAGCUAUGUUUGGUCACAAGAGAUUAAAUCAUACGACAACAUGGUGUAUUUGAAUGUUCGACCAAAAAGCAGCCAGCUUUAUGUCGGCUAGAUUUUACCAAAAAAACAAAACUAUUGCCAAAUUCAAACUGCAGCAGGGCUAAAAAGUGCAUGUAAGUUGCCACAAAAGCUCGUGUACUGAAAUUGAAGCUUGCAGCCAUGAAUAGUAUCAUAGCUGCUGCUGCAAUGAAUUAUGAAGAGGUUCAGUUUCCAGCAUAAUGUGGCAACAAUGGGCACGAAAACCAGCUUUUAGAUACAGUCUUCAGCCACCACGACCCAUACAUACCACAAAACCUAAACUUAUGUUACCUCCUCUCUCCUGCCCUCUUCCCCACAAAAAGAAAAUUCAUCAUUCAUCAUUCUUAGCAUUAUAUUACAGAACCUAAUUAGUGGUGUCAAUAAAAAGGAAACCAGAAAAACAUGUAUCGUCAAAUGAAGGUACACAUACAAUAUCAAAUGUUGGAACAUUAGUAUUGUGCAAGAGACCAAAGAUCACAUCAAUGUGCAUGCCGAAAAAAGUACAGAAAUGAUAGGAUGUGGUUGACUAAAACUUGAUAAAAAUAACGGUUAGCGUGUGUUCAUUGCUUAAUCUUGUCAGAUCAAUCUAAGUUGGGGCAGGGUAGCUCACAUUAAAGCUAGUGUGAUAUGUAAAGUUGAAAUAGCACCUUAUCAUCUUGGUCAUUCUCAGCAAGUUGGAUCAUGUAAUCUAGCGCCAACAUGAAACCCGACUCCAUCUCAUCAACUCUCUUCCCUAGGACCCCUUGUGCAGCUAUUUCCACUGCCACCUCUUCAGAUGCCUCAUCCAUGUUCAUAUCUUCCAACUGUACAUGCACAAAACUAGUAAUCAGACAAAUGAAGCAUCAGUUGGCUCGUGAUUUCGAAACAAAAAGCAAAAAAAGAUAUAUGCAGACGAAAUGCAAGCAACCUCCAGAUAGUAAACAGCUGCAUAAUCCAAUUUCCGCAAAAUUAGCCAACGGGGCAGUUAAUACAUUGCAAUAUAUACAAUCAUUUUGAUGAAAGCCAUAUGAAUUCCACAUUUACAAUAGGUAUUUAAAUGAACUGAAAUUAAUACAAAAUUUGACUCAACUAAGCCUUAUACCAAAUUAUCCAUCAUUUCCUUCUCUACCAAUUUCUCAGCAACCAAUCUACAGAGAAUGAAUAAGAGAGAGAGAGAGGAGCAAAAACUUACAAGGGUGAUCAUCUCUUCAAGAACAGAAGUGACUUGGUCACCACCUUUGAGAAGAGCUUCAUACUGGGCAGUGUCCAAUUUUGAGUUGCCUUGCUCUUGGGUAGUUCUACUCUUCUCUUGCCCACCCAAUUCCUCAUCUGGGUAGCCUCCACCCACCUCAUAAGUCCCACAGAAGCGCAGCAUCUGCCUCUUCUUCUUCUUGUUGGGUUGCUUUGCUUGAAACUGAGGUUGGGGCAAAUUGUUGUGGCGAGAGCACACUGUGGUGAAUGAAAAUGAAGGGAAAGAGAGGAGAGAAGGAGAAUUAAUGGUUGGGUUUAGAGUUUGUGCAGAUGGGUACGAACAACUGGGAAACAUGUUGCUGCUCUGCAACAUCUUUUCUUCUUGUUUGGAUUCUAAGGUUUUGGGGUUUUGGAUGGGUUUUUGUGUUAGAACCAGAGAUGUGAUAAAUAAAUAAAAAACCAAAAUAAUAAACUCGCCGUCUGUGGGAAUCGAACCCACGACCACACGGUUAAAAGCCGUGCGCUCUACCGGCUGAGCUAAGACGGCUCCUGAUAUUUUGUCUGCUUGUGAAAAAUAUGAAUAGUUUAAUGUUCUUUUGGUGCGCUGGCAUCAUAUGAAAUUCCAAAUGACGUUCAGCCUCAUAUGCUUCAAUAUAAAUGAACCAUGCUAGAGGUAAAGGAAGACGGAAGAAUCUGAAAGUAGAGGAAAUAAAUCAUAUUGCCAUAUUGGACAUGCAUUAUAAGCCUAGGCAACAAGUUUUGGACCAAACCAUGUGGCAUGGUUUGGGCUUAUACUGGCAACUUGGCAAGAAAAUGGAACAAACUUGCAUAUCAAAUCAUUUGCUUCUUCAACUAAGCUUCCGUCCAUGGCCAACCCUACUCACUUUUCGGCAUCGGUUUUAUUAGUAGUGAGAGCUUAGAAGAAAGAUAAAAAUGCACCAAUGCAGCGUUGUAUUAUGUAUUUUUGUUUUCACUUGUAUUUUGAUUUGUGUCUUGUUUUCAUGCAUUAUUUGUCACUUUCAUGUAAUUGAUGGUGUUGAUGUCAAAAUUUGAUCCUCGUUCUUGAAAUCGUAAAUGGAUAAUCAUUCAGAGAAGAUAGAUAUAAAGUUCACCUAAGUCAAACUGCAUUCAUGACUAGUAAUUUCAUGUCCGAUGUUGAAAUUUACAUGAGAAACAAGAAAGUCAUAAAUGAAAAUGAUAACUUCUUCAAAAAGAACGAGUAAUCUAAUUUUUGGACUUCAAUAUUUAAUUUGGACUCGCCCCGAUUAUUCAGGCCAACCACACAAAUAGAUGGAAACCCAAUGGGUCAAAUUACAGCUAGUUCUGAAUAGUGCUAAUAAUAUACAUAUUUUGGGGUUUAAUUAGACCAUUAGAGUAAUUAGCCCAACGAUUAACUAUUAAAAGCUUUUUAAUCACCUCCCAGAAAAACCCAUGAAGUAACGUUUGAUGGGUUGAGAACUUGUGGGAGCUUACCCUGCGCUGCCAAAAGGUGAAGGCAGCGGUGGUAAUAAUGAGUAGUUGGACAGUGGUGAAAAGGUAAAAGUAAAACCACCCAAAGCCCAGAUAAAAGUGAAGGAGCAUAUAUGUAUCAUGAUGAGUUUUCAUGACCCUACCCCUGCCCAAUAUUAUUAUUUUAAUUCUGCGAAAACCCAUGAGAAACUAGUCAGAAAUCCUUAACGAGACAGUUUGUCAGGGAGGCCUGGGAGGGAGGAUGGAACGGGACCAACAUGCAUAUAUUAACACAUAUAAAAAAUACUCAACAAUUGCCGACAUACAACAUUCUUCUUCAAACUAAACAAAAAACCAAAAACAUAAGAGUAUCAUAUGGAGAGUGUACAAAUUAACAAUUGAAUGUAUAUUAGUUGUGAUCAUCAUAUCGUCAUGUGUUGUUAUUAAUAUAUUUAUUUAUAUAUUGAAAGUAUAUGUUUACAUGAUUGUGUGAUUAUAUUAUUUGGUGACUUGAUUUGGACUUAACGGGAAUUGAGUCCAAACUAGAUUUAUUAAGUCUUACUCUUCUUGAUGAAACUUAUAAGACACAAUAUGUUAGACUAUUGUAUAAUUUAAUAAUUCCAAUUCCAACCCACCAAAAAAUAAUCGAAACUACUCAAAUUUAAUUGAAAUACUAAUUCAAUCCAACACAUCAAAUGUGGAAUACCUAAGCUAGGGCUAUUUCACAUUUUGGUCAAGGGGUCAACAAGCAUAAUAAAAUGGCUUAAAUGCUAAAAUAGUCAUUGUGUUUUAUCACGUUGACUAAUUUAAUCACUGUGUUUUUAAUUUGGCCAAUUCGGUCUACGUGUUUAAUACUGUUAGCCAAUGUGGUUCAUUUCAUUAAAUAAACAUAAAUGAUCUUUUUUUUUCUUUUUUCUUUUUUGUUGAAAACCUAUAAACUUAUUUGAAAUUGAUUUUAAAAAUUGAAUUAAUUUAAAAAUAUAUUGAAACUUCAUUAAAACCAAAACAUAACAUUAGGAAGAAGGAAAAAAAACAGGAUGGGCAUAAUCAGGGAGGGGGAGAGGCUGCUCAGCGAUUGGGGGAGGGGGAGUGGGGUGACGACCAGAGUGGGCUAGAGGAUCUGGGUGGCGCGGCUGGAGAUGGGACAAAUGGCCAGGGAAUGGUAGCGUUGGGAAAGAUCUUGUUGCGACAUGGUCAGGCAGUAGGGGUUGUUUGAGAGAGAGAGAGAGAGAGAGAGAGAGCUCAAGGGUGGGGAGGAUUCGUGUUCAGGAGGUGGAUGUGGCUAGGGGAGUUGGGCUUGGGGCCUUUGGGUCUGGUAGCGGAAAGUAGUUGGGAGGAAGAGAGAAGCUGAGAGAAGGGUGGUGGGGGUGACGGCUAGACUGGAUGGUGUUAUCAUCCCUUGAUUUUAAUUUCUUUUACUUUUAGACUUUUUGUUUUGUUUUGUUUUAUUUUUUUCUUUUUUAUUGGUACAAGGGUUCUAAUCUAAGAGCCCAUAACAACAUUUUAGAUCUUAUUUAAUUAUCUAUUUUUAAAUUGAAUUCAAAUAUAUCUAUUUUUUUAUUAUUAUUUAAACAGUUUUAAUAUUUUUUUAAUAUAAAUUUAACGGAUUGGAUCAUAUUGGCUAACGAUCCUAAACGCAGGAAUCAAAUUAGCCAAAUUAAAAAUACAAAGAUUAAAUUAACCAACAUAAUAAAAUACAUGGACUAUUUUAACAUUUAAGCCUAAUAAAAUAACCAAAAUGUGACCCUUUUGUUUUGGGCCUUUGCUCCCAUGUUCCUUACUUCGUGAGACCCAAAAAUAUAAAACAUUAAAAAUGCAAGGAUAGAAGGUACGGAUUUUAGGCACAGCGUGGACGAUUAUUUUUAUUUUAUUUAUUUUAUUUAUUUUAUUAAGGUCUCCAUAAAUAUAUGAUCUUUUUGUAUUAAGCCUAAGGUCAUGAGAAACUGAACAGACGGAGAGAGACGGUCGAUAUCCUAAUCCGACGGUCCAAACACACGUAAAACCAAAAAUGCAAAUCCUUUUUAAUACGCGACACGCCAAGGGGUAAAAAUCCGUAAUUUACCUCCAAAUUCAAGGGUAACGUCGUUCCCGAACAAUUGUUUAAUACCCGAUGUAUCCUCACCCCAACGCUUGCGCUUCCCCGCUUCUAUAAAUUACCUACCCCACGCCAUACCCAGACCCCACGCCUUUUUCAUUUUCAUCCAUUCUUCUCUCUGAUCUUCGUCUUCGUCUUCUUCUCUCCUAGGGUUAGGGUUUUCUCUGUCCUUUUCGUCUCAGCUUUUGCUUUUUCACUCUCUGAGCUUCAAUGGCACAGCAAGACGUCCAGAACGGAGAAGGAGAGAAGAUUGCGCCAGCUGUUGAGAUCAAGGCUGUGCUGACUCAGCUGGUGGUUCCCAAGGCCGACGACGCUGUUAAGUUCUACAAGGCUGCUUUCGGUGCUGUGGAGCUCGAGCGCUCAACUCACCCCAAGCGUAAGGCGGAGCAAGAGCGCCCGUUUAUCCUCUCUGCUCAGCUCAAACUCGGCUCCUCCACAUUUCUCGUCUCUGACAACACUGAAGACUCCGGCGAGCCGUAAGUCUCGCUUUCCCUCACUAACUUUACGCUAUGUUUGAAAUACUUGUGCUGUAGUAUUAGAUCCUUUUAGAUCCACAUGAUAUGAUAAGCUGAAAUAGCAUUUAAAUGAGUUAACACAUACUAUUUCAUUGUGUUCUAUUUUUGUAUUUUUAUGUUAUUUUCUUUUAAUUUUCUCUAAGUUUUAAAUAAUAUUUGCUAGUAUUUCUACUUGUGUUUUCAUUUUUAUUUGCUGUUAUAUUUUAUCUUCAGCAUUCUUAAAAUAUUUAUCAAAUAACAUUGAGACGCUAUUUUUCUUCUGUAUGAGUUGUUGUAACCUACUUGUGGUCUGCAAAAAUUAGCUAAAAUGAUAGAUCUAACUAUUUAUACUCUAGUUCUUGAUUUUAGCUCAAGUCGACUGUGGUGCUUUGAUGGAAUUUUGGUUUUGAGUUUUAGCCGAGAUAUUUUAUUUCCAGAUUUUAAGAUGUAUAAUAAUUUAUUUUUGUUCAAACAGCGUGAAUGUUGUGGGUUCUGGUGCCAUUGCUCUCUGGCUUGAGACGCCUGACAUCGGAGCUGCUGUAGCCAAGGCGGUGCUGGCCGGAGCUGUCUCUGAGGGAGAGAUAACAACUGGCGUUUUCUCUGACCCGGACCAGCCUGUGGGGAAGGUCAGGGACCCUUUCGGCUUUCUCUGGUUCUUCACCAGCCCGGUUGCCAAGAAGGCCGCAGCUGAGUCGGAAGCUCCC
rnacentral:lncRNA from 1 species